AUGGUGAGGAGCAUUUCCUGUGCCCCCCACAUAUAUUGCCCAGCCCCAUUCAAACAGACAACAGCAGAAACUCUUAUCCCCCUUUUGGUACUUGGUAGAGAGAUGGAGCAUCCUGUUGUUAGCGCUAGUGGGGGAGCCAUUAACAUACUGUUAUGUAAGCUGGGUACGGUGCUCAUCCAAGAAGCACAGCUCCUUGGAGGCAUCCGAGGCGAGCUGCAGUACAUGAAGGAUGAGCUUGAGAGCAUGACAGCAUUCCUGCAGGACCUUGCUGAGGGGGGAAACCGCAGGAAGCAGGUUAAGAUUUGGAUGAAACAGGUGCGAGAGGUCGCGUAUGAUGUUGAGGAUUGCGUUGAUGAGUUUACAUAUCACCUUGGCAGCACCACGAGUGGUUCUGGCCUUGUCGGGCUCUUCCACAGAUGCAUCCGUUUCCUGCAAACUGUCAGGGUGCGGCGGCAGAUUGCGAAACAAAUCCAAGAACUGAAAGCGCGCGCUACAAGUAUCAGUGACCGAAACUCAAGGUAUGGUGGUAAUCAUCUCAUUUCUGGAGCAGAAGGAAACACACUUGCUGCACAACCAGCACCAUCUUAUAUUACUUCUCUGGAUAUUCGUACCCCCGCACUCUUCCCAGAGAUAACGGAACUUGUGGGCAUUGAAGCGCGUCAGAGUAAUAUUGUGAAUUGGUUGGUGGAUGAAAACGUACAGCAACUACUGGUGCUAUCUAUAUUCGGCUUUGGUGGUUUGGGAAAGACAACUCUUGCUAUGACGACAUAUCAGACAGCUAGUGCAAGUUUCCAGUGCCGAGCUUUUGUGACUGUAUCCCAGAAAUUUGAUGUGAAGAGUCUCAUAAGGGACAUUCUUCGUCAGAUUAUUCGACCAGUAAAUCAAAAUGGUCCAGCACCAGCAGUAGACCCACUCAAAGGCAUGGAAGAAUGGAACGUGGGACAGCUUGCAGAUAUGCUAAGGCAGCAUCUAGAAGAUAAGAGGUAUCUUAUUGUUCUCGAUGAUAUUUGGAGCAUGUCAGCUUGGGAAGGUAUUCGAUUUUGCUUGCCUAACUCACAUACUGGAAGCAGAAUAAUUGUUACCACAAGAAUGAAAACUGUAGCACAAGCCUGCUGCCUCCAUGAGUAUGACAGAAAUUACGAAAUUGAACCACUCAGUGGUAGUGAAUCUAGCGAGUUAUUUUUCAAGAGAAUAUUUGGUAACAGGGAAAAUUGCCCAGCUGCCUUCAAAAACAUUUCAGAGAGGAUCCUGGGAAAGUGUGGUGGUAUACCCUUGGCCAUAGUCAGCAUUGCAGGUCUUUUGGCUAGCACACCCUUGUAUAGUUAUGAUCGCUGGGAGAAGAUCUACAACUCUCUUGGCUUGGAGCUGGAAACCAAUCCCUGGCUUGAAAAACUAAAGAAAAUUCUUGAGCUUAGUUAUAAUGACCUUCCAUACCAUUUGAAAACUUGUUUCUUAUAUUUAAGCACCUACCCUGAGGAUUAUAAGAUCAGAAGGAAAAGUUUAUUGAGACGAUGGAUAGCAGAACGCUUUGUGACAGAGAAGCGUGGAUUAAGUGCCUUGGAGGUGUCUGAAAAAUAUUUCAAUGAAUUACUCAACAGGAGUAUGGUUCUUCCAAUUGAAAUGAGCUUUGAUGGGAAGGUCAAGACCUUUCGAGUUCAUGAUAUAAUGCUAGAGAUCAUUGUUUCAAAAUCAAUUGAAGAGAAUUUCGUCACUUUGGUAGGUCAACAGUCUACUUUAGCUCCUCAAGAGAAGAUUCGGCGGCUAUCCAUUCAUGGAGGAAGUAACCAAAACAUUGCCACAAGCAAAUUGUUAAGCCAUGUCCGAUCAUUGAGUAUAUUUGCUGAUGGAGAAAUGUUACAGUUUGCUUGGAUAAAACUUCUUAGAAUAUUAGACUUAGAAGGUUCUGGGUUUGCCAGGAAUGGAGAUAUCGGAAAUAUAUGUAAACUGUUUCAGUUGGAAUAUCUCAGUCUCCGGAAUACAUAUGUCACUGAACUUCCUGUGCAAAUAGGAAACCUCAAAAAGUUGGAGACACUUGAUGUCAGGGACACAGCCAUAAAGCAUUUGCCUCCACACAUUACCAAUCUGCCAAAUUUGUUAAACCUACUUGGAGGGAGAAGAGUUUAUAACUACAGUGGUUUGUCUCCCAUUUCCAAUUUUUGGGGAAUGCACAUCCCUAACAAGCUUGGCAAUUUGGAAAUGCUUACAACCCUUGCACAGAUAGAGAUCACAGGCUCUACUUCCUGUUACAUAUCUGAAUUGGGGAAGCUUUCACAGUUGAGGAAGCUAGGGGUAAUGAUGUUUGUUGAUGACAACAUAAACUGGAUGUCCUUGAUCACUGCCAUUGCAAAACUGAGCAGUUGCCUUCAGUCGCUGCUGAUUUGGCGACCAGGCGGAGUAAUGAAUUUCAGGAUUCUUGAUACACUAUCCAGGCCACCAAUGUUUCUAAAAAGCAUAAACUUCCGAGGUAAGUUGGGACGGCUACCAGAAUGGAUUGGUUUGCUGGCUAAUCUAACUGAGUUGACCCUUCGCGCCACUGAAUUGGAAUCUGAGGAGCACCUGAAAGUUAUCUCUCAGUUACCAAGCCUGCUCUACCUUAGGUUGCAUCACAGUGCAUACACCGGAAGAGCACUCACCUUCUCCGCGUCAGAGUUCCCAAGUCUCAAAGUGCUCACCAUUCAUCUUGCUGUAUACCAGGCAUUGAACCUGAGGUUUGAGGAAGGCACUGCACCUAAGCUCCAUAGGCUGGAACUAUCUUUCUUCGAAAAUGCUUCCAUCCGGCGGCCUUCAGGUAUCAAUUUUCUUGCAAAUCUUCAGGAGGUCUUGGUCCACGCCGAUCCAUGCCGUAAAUCGGAAGCUAUGGUGCACUAUUUGAGGAAUGAAGCUAGGAGGAAUCCCAACCAACCUACUGUCACUUUCAAGGCGAAACAAUGGAAGUCAGCACGGACAGGUCCAGCAAUAGAUUACAGAGGAAACAUCUGGUUUUGA
rnacentral:rRNA from 1 species